UGCUAGGCUAUGGAGAGGCACAAAUGCUGGUCUGGCCCUGGCUGUACCAACGGUGGGAAUCUAUCUACCAUGCUAUGAUGUGUUUCGCAGUUGGAUGGAGGAUUUUACCUCCCAGAAUAUUCCUGGUGCAACACCAUAUGUGCCUUUAGUAGCAGGUUCAUUGGCACGUUCUUUAGCUUGUGCAACUUGUUAUCCUGUUGAACUUGCAAGAACUCGCAUGCAGGCAUUUAAAGCAGCCCAAAUUAGUAAACCUCCCGGAGUUUGGAAAACUCUGUUGGAGGUCCUC
rnacentral:misc_RNA from 1 species